UUCAUUGUUCCUCUACUCUAUAUUUUUGAAGUCAAGAAAAGCAGUCAGAAAACUACCACCGCAAGCCGGAGGUGCGUGGCCGAUAAUCGGUCACCUACCCUUGUUAGUACGUUCGUCUGAGCCACUACAUGUGGUGAUAGCUCAAUUGGCGGACACGUAUGGACCGAUCUUCACUUUCAUGUUCGGAGUGAAGAGAACCCUAGUUUUGAGCAGCUCGGAAAUGGCGAAAGAGUGCUUAAAGACCUACGACAAAGUGUUUGCUAGCCGUGUAAGCUCUUUAGCCUCAGAAAUCUUGGGCUACAACUAUGCCUUCUUUCCCUUCAGCUCUUACGGCUACUACUUUAGUCAUGUACAGAAGAUGGUCAUGGCGGAGGUCUUAUCCCCCCACCGCGUCGAGAUGCUCAAACACUUAAGAGAAUCCGAAGUGAGUGCAUCGAUGAAAGAAAUAUACGAUCGGUGGACGAAGAACAACAAGAGUAGUGGUUCCGAUAAGGUGGUGGUACCGAUGAAAGACUGGUUUGCGGAAAUAAACCAGAACGUGGUCUUUAGAAUGAUUAUCGGGAAACGAAUUUCAGAAGCUACAAAUUACACCCAUGGAGACUUGAUAGGGAGAGAGGUAUUCAAGGAUUGGCUUCGACUGAAUGCUACUUUUGUACUGUCGGAUGCGCUUCCGUUCUUGAGGUGGUUGGAUUUGGGUGGCCAUGAGAAGACCAUGAGGAAGGUAGCAAAGGAGGUAGAUCAAGUGCUUCAAGGAUGGUUAGAAGAGCAUAAGCAGAAGAAAAAGAGGACUGUUUCUAAUGGAGUGAAAGGUGAUGAGGAGGAGCGUGACUUCAUGGAUUUGAUGCUUUCAGUUCUUGAUGAUGCAAAAGUUACCAAUUCUUUUGAAGCUGACAUUAUCAACAAAGCUACCUCACUGGUACGUAUGUGCAGUUUAGCAUUUAAUUGUUUAAAUUUUCAUUUUUGCUUUCUUUUCUUACACAUUCAUCUUUAUUUAUUUAUGACCAUCAGAUUGAAUAAAUGAGUAACGUUAAGAAGACAUAUUUAUAACACAUUAGUGUAUAUAUCAUCUUAAUAUCUUUAUGUGUCAACUAAUGCAUAUAACCAAUAUCCCAUGAGAUAAACUCAUUAAUUGACGUAGUAUCAUUUACAACAUCAGAUUGUAUACAAAUGUAUCACAAAAAAGUAGUCUCCUCAGCAUUUUCCUUACUGAAUGCAUCUAAUAAUUCUAUCGCCCUUCAUCGAUAAGCAUAGGGUUUCAUUUAUUAGAAAGUGUGUCUGCAAGUGUGUAAAUUUUGUUUGUACAAAUACUAUUGUUGAAUUUUACGUACUUCUCUUGCAGAGUCUUCUUCUAGCAGGUGUAGAUGUGACGACAGGGACAUUAACAUGGGCACUGUCUCUACUUCUUAACAGCCCUAAAACUCUAAAAAAAGUCCAGGAAGAGAUAGACCAAAAUAUUGGCAGAGAGAGGGCAGUAAAAGAAUCGGACGUCGACAACUUAGUCUAUCUCCAAGCCGUUAUCAAAGAAACGCUCCGUUUAUACCCUCCCGGACCAACCUUAUUGCCCCAUGCAUCCAAUGAAGAUUGCGUUCUAGCCGGCUACCAUAUCCCAGCAAACACUCGCGUCCUCGUCAACGUAUGGAAGAUUCAUCGAGACCCGAAGGUCUGGCCCGAUCCAAAUGAGUUUCGACCUGAACGAUUCUUCACAACACACAGCUACAUUGAUAUUAAAGGUCAGGAUUUUGAGUUGAUACCGUUUGGCAGUGGAAGAAGAAUGUGCGCCGGAAUAGCACUUGCCCUCAGGAUUAUGCCAUUGACACUCGCUUCUUUGCUUCAUGGAUUUGAAAUCGCAACUCCGACGGGUGAACCAGUUGACAUGCGUGAGUCGAUGGAAUUUACCAACCAUAGAACCUCCCAACUUGACGUCCUUCUCACUCCGCGCCUUCCUGCUCAAGUAUACGAAGAGUAUGGUAAAUAAGGCAAAUCUGCUUUGCUGGUAUUUAGGGCACAGGUUACAUGCAAGUGAUGACUAGAGUAUUCAUAAACUCACGGGGGGCAUCACUACGUUUUGCAUUAAUUUGGUCACCUCUGGAAUUAUGUUACUAAAUCAUGGUUAAGUAUUUGUUUUAAGGGGAUUUUAGAUCUUAAUAAAUAAAAAAACCUUGUGCUACUGUUAGAUCUAAUUCAGGUGCUUUUCUUGAUGACUAAGGUACACAAACUUUGGUUUUUGUUUUCUUAUUAUAACAUGGAUUUUUUUUUUUGUUUUGGUCCAUAAAUGUUCUAGUUUUUUUCUAUGCCCAUUUUAUCCCUACAUUGCCAUAAUUGGUGAAUUUCCGAAAUAUAGUAAAUGCGUUGGAGAUUAUUAUUAUUAUUAUUUUGGUGAAUUUCCUUAUCAUUCAUUUCUUUAACAAGUUCCUUCCAGAUCAGAUUUUUUUUUCGUUAAAAAGAAUUUCAUAUUGAAUAUCUAGUCAAAUUACAAGAAAAUGACAAUUAUGGUAAAUGCAAAAAUAAACAAAUAUAAUUCCUUUUUGCCAUUUCAUCCCUAUCUCUUCCUUUAAUGUGUUUGUACUAAGACCAUCUCCAAACUUGGGCUAAAAGCCAAAUUACCACCCAAAUUACCCCCCCAAACACUCUCCAACCCAUCUUAAAAUUUUAGGCUAAAUGCCAAAUAUUAUUUAUGGGCCAAAUACCUCCCAGCUUUCCCCCCGGGCUAAAUGCCAAAUGUUUAUCGAAUUUAAAUUUUUUUCGAUUAAAAUGUUCAUAAAAUUAAUUUACAAUAAUCUACAUAUUUAUUUAUUUUUUUUUAAAAUUGAUUUAAGAAAAAAAUUAGCCUAAGUUCAUUCUUUAAUAAUUCCGGGCUAAAAUUUUAGGGCAGAAGGGUUGGAGCAGAAAAGAUGUUUCUGGGCUAAAAGCCAAAUUUUCCGGGAGCCUAAGGGUUGGAGAUGGUCUAAUAUGGAUUGGAGAAAUUUUUUUUUUUUUUUUUGUGAAUUUCCUUAUCAUUCAUUUCUUUAACAAGUUCCUUCCAGAUCAGAUUUUUUUUUCGUUAAAAAGAAUUUCAUACUGAAUAUCUAGUCAAAUUACAAGAAAAUGACAAUUAUGGUAAAUGCAAAAAUAAACAUAUAUAAUUCUUUUUUGCAAUUUCAUCCCUAUCUCUUCCUUUAAUGUGUUUGUACUAUGGAAUGGAGAUAUUUUUUUUUUUUGGUGAAUUUCCUUAUCAUUCAUUUCUUUAACAAGUUCCUUCCAGAUCGGAUUUUUUGUCUUUAGAAAGAAUUUCAUACUGAAUAUCUAGUCAAAUUACAAGAAAAUGACAAUUAUGGUAAAUGCAAAAAUGAACAAAUAUAAUUCCUUUUUGCCAUUUCAUCCCUAUCUCUUCCUUUAAUGUGUUUGUACUAAUAUGGAAUAAAACGCACAAGGAAUUUACACCCUCCAUUUACCAUAUAUGUUUGGAUACACUGAACCAGAAUAAUUAGAAAGUCUGUAACUUCUCCAAAUUCACUAUAUAAAACAAAACAAAACCCCCAUCCAUAUAUCACUGACAAGACAAACAAGCUAGCUAAGGACUCCCCAUCAAACAAUCUCUAUGGACUUCCACCUACCAUCUCUUGUUCCUUUUGUGGUAGCAUCAUUGGCCUUUUCAUUGUUCCUCUACUCUAUAAUUUUUAAGUCAAGAAAAGCAGUUAGAAAACUACCACCUCAAGCCAGAAGUGCGUGGCCGAUAAUUGGUCACCUACCCUUGUUAGUACGUUCGUCUGAGCCACUACAUGUGGUGAUAGCUCAAUUGGCGGACACAUACGGACCGAUCUUCACUUUCAUGUUCGGAGUGAAGAGAACCCUAGUUUUGAGCAGCUCGGAAAUGGCGAAAGAGUGCUUAAAGACCUACGACAAAGUGUUUGCUAGCCGUGUAAGCUCUUUAGCCUCAGAAAUCUUGGGCUACAACUAUGCC
rnacentral:lncRNA from 1 species